rnacentral:lncRNA from 1 species
UAAUAUUCUUACACGAAUCUGCAGCUUUUGGACAGUCCAAAGAGAGACCCAGCUGGCACACAGGAAGCCACACACGGGCAGCAGGGCCGCUCCAGGCCAUCGAGGCCCAUAGUCAGGACUCUACUCACCAUGUGUGGAGAUGCUGCUUUCCUCCAGAAGCUCUGUCACAUUACCUUCAAACCGGUCUUGGAUGUCCUGGAGGAUUUUGGCGUCAUUCUCCUCAGACACAAAAGUGAUGGACAGGCCUUUAGUGCCAAAAAAACCUGCACGAGCCACUGGGUGGAGGUCAUUCUCCUUUAUUCACAAAACAUCACUGUAGCCACCACCUCAGCCUCGCCACUUCCAGCAAGGAGAUCUGGCCUGUGUGCAGGGAGUCCACGCAGGAUCCCAUGGAGGUGUUUGUGGAUGAUGAGACCAAGUGCACGCUGCACACACCGCAGCAGUACUACCUCAAGCUCAAGGACACCGAGAAGAACUGCAAGCUUAUUUCCUGGCCCACUGCACCCCAGCCCUACCUUAUGCUAAGUCUCCAUGUCAGAGGAUGAUAAAUCCACAUGCGCGUGCACAUGCAUAUUCACCAUCUGGCCCUUGUUCCGUUCAGGUGAUUUAUUUCUUGCAUCUCCUUAUUGAAUUUAUAAGAAGAUGCAUGAUAAUUCAUUUUCUUUGUCAAUUCCCUGCUUCUCAUUUUGCUAAUUCAAUGCCACACUAACACUUCUAUUAAUUUGGCACUUGGAACUGAUAGAUUUACUGUGUGGCGUUCCAUCUCUAACUAAACAAAAAUAAAACCGCAGACCUGGAGCUUUUUCCACUGUCAAAGUUUUGCUGCUGCUGUUUUGGCCGCUGCUGCGUUGUAUGAAGCUUAUCCACAUCCUUUAAUCAUAGGAUGUGGAUAAUCGUUCUCUCGAACGGAGGUAUAUGGGGAUAAUACCUGAAGGUUUUCCACAUUGUGGAGGCAUUGUAAAUAUUCCUGAAGUGAAGACUUGUGUGGCUAAAGAAGUCAUCUUCCUUAUAAAUCAUAGGGUUCACCUGAGUCAUAAGGCAACCUGCUCUUCUAUAGCAAAUACUUGCUUGCUGCAAAGGCCUGGACGAGGAUUCUCGACAGUGAUCACCUGCACCUUGUC